GCCAGUUUCCACAGCUGUACCCCUUUCUCUCCUGUGGGGGUGUGUGUGGAGGGAGCUGAUGGAGGCCACACACACACACACACCCGGAAAUUCUAGAAUAUUCUCGAAUAUUCCGGCAUUCCAGCAACCAUUUGGUAAGAGUAGGUCUCAUCACAGCAAGAGAACUCUGCUGACCAAGACACCAUCACUCCACAGCUUCCAGGGAGGGCUUUCCCUGGUGGAAGAGACAUGUUCACAUCCAUGAGCAUGGAGGCAAGAGAAAGAAAGGACAAUUUUUCCCUGAUUGUCUUAGUCUGGGCUCAGCUUCCAUGACACUGAGCUGGCCCUGACUCUCUCUGGGCCUUCGUGGCCCAAACCGCAACAUGGGCCCUUGCUCUCUCGACUUCAUGGGGCUACGGUGGAUUACAAAUCACUAGAAGGCACGGUGCCCACACUUUUGAGAGGACCAGACACAGGGCUCUGCACGCAGACAUCCAGUGAACUUGGCCAGUCUGUCUAGAUGUGGCCUGUGUCCUCAUUCGUUCACAUGUUUGCUGGGGGCCCACCCCCAUUCAAGGCCCCAGGAUACAGAGGAGACCACUGCUCCUGCAGAGCCUCCCCUCAAGCGUGGAAGAAAUAAAUAAACAGGUCAGAGCGCCUUCUGGGGAGGAAGGCGGCGGCCUCCCAGCUCCGGUCUCCUUAAGUGCACCCUGGGAAGUCUUCACACUGCCUUUCUUUUCCCCCGGUGGUCUAAUCUGGAGUCAGAUCCAGCCGCUGGCUCCUACAGCCGGGGAAGGACUGCGAGCCAACAGGAAAACAACAGUUACCCUUAUCACGCUGACCCGGAGGACCUCUGUGCGUGACAUUCCAUGUCCCUGCCUCAAAUUCUGCAAACGUGCUUUUAGGUGUUGAUGGGACAGGCUCUCCGGUUGUUCUUAAAAAAAGAUGUUACUUCUCUCCUUUACACCGCUUUCCACAAGGAUGACUUGAAAUUUCUUUUAAAGAAGAGUUCUUUCAGGAUAUGCGGGGAGAGGUAUUAAAAUGUGUUCUUCUAGAGCUCCAGGGACAUGUAGAAUUUCAGCAUUUGGUCCUCACGGAAGCAGUGAGAAUGUAUUUCUGUUAGAUCACCCUGAGUUUGAAAAAAAAAAAAACAAAAACCCAAACACCCAGU